rnacentral:snoRNA from 1 species
UUGCUGUGAUGAAGUAGAUUCCUAAGUCAUUCGUAGUUUCCACCAGAGGUUGAAAGACCAAAGAUGGCCCAAGUAUACCUUCCUUGGAUGUCUGAGCGA